AUGUAUGAAGUAAUUAACUGUAAGCACGUUAUGCAGCCCGCUGGUGGUCAUAGCACUGCGAUUCAAUUGUUCCUGGACAGGAAAUACAAAUCUUACCAAUUGCCAAGCCGAAGGAUGCAAACGCUCUGUGCUUUGUGGGAAGGGCUGGCUGUGCAUCGCCCGCUGGCAGCCUCUGUUCCAGCAGUGACAUCCAUCACCCAUCCAACUGAUCCACAUAAACCGUCUGUUUUGCACUGCACGCCCCAUCCUCAAUGCCUGCAUGCUCCUGCUGACGAUUCCUGCUUACUGAUGGUCCCAGCGAAUCUCAGGAGGCAGAGGAGUUCCUCUUCUUGUGCUCCAGGGUCGACAGGGCUGCCUCCCGGCAUUCCCUCCAUAUUAGUCACCGUAAAGAGAGAUGAUGAGGUGCUAUCAUCUUUAAAAUGCCAUUGA
rnacentral:lncRNA from 1 species